CCGCGGGAUCAGGGCAGGAGGAAAGAGGGAAAGCUGGUUCUUAUGAUCACAUGUCAGCCAGACAGGGUCAGAGGUCGUUUCCUUAGCACGAUUACCCUUCUCUUGUCAGUUACAACAAAAUGGCUGCUGUAGCAGCACCGUUACUGAUAAUUUACUGACGGCGAGAGCGACUAGCUCAACUUUUCCCUUUCCCCAGCCCCCUCCCCUCUCCGACAACCCCACUCUGACGUUGUUUUGUCUACUGUUGGAUAUUUCCUCCCCCCCUUCUAUUUGCACUUUAAAUUGAUGAGAGACCCCGAGUUUAAAGCUGCCAAAGAGCCUCAGGAAGAAAUUAAAAGGAACUGUCAAUGUAGGGAUCAUGAAAUGGCAAAAGGCUGUGCACUGGUUUUCAAACAGCCAGUGAAAUAGAAAGAAGGCAGAGCAGUGAAGGCUGAACUGUAACGUUCUUCGUCCAUAAAGCUGGCUCAGCCGAUGCAUUGGGGUUUGAAAUCUGACUGGAAAAAAAAACGCUUUUCUCACUGUGCAAGUUGGAUAUAAUGACGGCAGUAUCGCAAAGAGAUGUCGUAGCUUCUUUGCAAAUUGUAGAACCACUGCAACGUGAAGUAGGACAUUUCUGCCGUACUUGUUUGACAUUGCAAAUACUUUCUCUCUCUUUUUGCUACAGAAUGCAGAGAACGUUCAAUAAAUUGCAGUAAUAGUCGUAAAACAGCAUUUCUGUUCUUUUGCGUGGUGUUGAGCUUUGGUAUUGACUGGCUUCUGUUGUAUUGCCAAAGCGCUGGCAUUUUUGGAUCGUUGCCCACGUUGUCUGUCUCCCCCUCUCUGCACGCAGUUCCAUACUGUACUUUAUCAUCCAGAUGUCUUUGGAUGUGGAAUGUGCCUUUUGAUAGACCAAAUAAUUUUUAAAACAUGCAGAGGAAUUCGAUUCAUUUUGAGAAUGGACAGGUUUUUAAGUUUUUGAAACAUUGUCUUGUUAUGGUAAUAAAUGGCGCAUCAAAUUGCAAAUACAAAAAAGAGCCAAUAUAUACGUGGGUAGGACAUAUCUAUAUUUUGUAGGUGUUCCAGGAAGACUUUGUUUUGUGUAAAAUGAUUAAGUAUCCAAAUUUGAAUUUUGUGUGUAUAUAUUUUUUUGUGUGAAAAUAUCUUUUUCUGAACCAUUGCAGCAAAUAAUAUUAGGCUGUAAUGUGUACUUUGCACCAACCAUUUUUACGUCAUAGGUAUUGCCCUAUUUUUUGUGAAGCGUUCAGGAAAUUAAUGCAUCCCAGGGUUCUGCAAUCUACCAUCAAGUGUGCAUGCUUUAGAUUCUGUAACUAUUUUUAGAAAUUAUGAACUUUAUACUGGAAUUGUGUGCUUUUUGUAUAAUUUGCCAAAAAUCCAAAUAAAGUAAUGAUUUCUUUGUAAUAAAAAUUACAAAAAAUAUAAUAAAUGACUUAAGAAAAAUA